rnacentral:rRNA from 1 species
CCUACGGGCGGCUGCAGUGGGGAAUAUUGCACAAUGGGCGCAAGCCUGAUGCAGCCAUGCCGCGUGUAUGAAGAAGGCCUUCGGGUUGUAAAGUACUUUCAGUCGUGAGGAAGGUGUUAAGGUUAAUAACCUUAGCAAUUGACGUUAGCGACAGAAGAAGCACCGGCUAACUCCGUGCCAGCAGCCGCGGUAAUACGGAGGGUGCGAGCGUUAAUCGGAAUUACUGGGCGUAAAGGGCACGCAGGCGGUUAAUUAGGUUGGGUGGGAAGUCCCGGGGUGUAACGGGGGAAUGGAUUUAAAAUUUGGUGGGCUAGAGUCUUGGGGGGGGGGGGAGAAUCCCAGGGGGAGGGGUAAAGGGCGUGGAGGGGGGGAGGAAGCCGGGGGGCGCGGGCGCCCCCCGGAAAAAAGGCUGCCGCUCAUGUGCAAAGGCGGGGGGAGAAAACGGUAUAAGAUACCGGGGU